ensembl:lncRNA
GCGGGAAUGAAAUUUGGGGUGCGGCUGCUUAAGAACCAGAAGCCAGUGCAACACCCUCCUCAUAUUCGGAGGGGUAGUGGGAAACCUGGUUCUCCUUUUUCCUUCUCCUCUCUCACGCGCCCCCUCCCGCUACAUCCUUGCUGUUUCGUGUUUAUCCUCCGGAGUUAGGGGCUACGACCCUGGUGGAGCCUCCUCUCCCCAGCCCCCUCCAGGAGCUCACCGGUGAUGUAAUACGGGACCCGCGCUGGGAGAGGAAGCGGCAGACUCCGCGGUGGCGGCAGCUGAGGUUGGUCCUCACUCUAUGAAGAGAAAACCUCCCCAGCCCCAGCAGGGAAGGGAAAGGAGAGAGCUCUCUGGGUUCCCAUGAGAUGAGAAUGUUCCCACUUUCUCUCUGGAUUCUCUGCAGCAGAAAGCAAGAUACCCCAGGGGAUAUUUGUGGAAAGGAUGAAUGAAUGAGAAUCAAGCUGAAGGAAGAGAGAAGCUGAAGGAAAGGAAGAUACCAAGAAAUCACCAAUGUACAGACCAAAGUUGGAAUUGUCAUAAAUAACUGUCAGGUUUCUAUGACACUUGAAAAUAAAUAGACCUUUUACUCUAUGUGAAUAGUGAAUGUGAUUGAUAUGGUAAAUCACAUGAUAGAUUUAGGUGAUUUUGAGAGACCUUAGGUGAGGCUCAUUAAAAACCAUGAGUUUUCCAUUUCCU